CAUGAUCAUUGUCUUCCGGCCAGACUUAGAAACUAGCAAGCUGUCUCCCGAGAGGAUGAAUUGGUGAAGUUGAAACGCUCCAGGAACUGUUGCUUCUCUCUAACCAACGGAGGUGACGGCAGAUUUGAUGGUGAGGCGAGGAAGUGAGGAGUGACGGCGGCGAGGGGGAGGAGGAUUCGACGGUAUAAAGUUCGGCGAGACCUGUGUAGACCCAGAAAAAAAUAGUCAAGACAAAUCGAAACCCAAACCUAAAAACCCCCAAAUCAAAACCCUAAGAAAGAAUUAAAAAGAGAAAGUGAACGACGAAGAUUGGAGGUUUGUCAGGUGGAAGCCAUUAAAAAAUUGACCGGCAAACACGACGGAGGAGAGAUGGAGCUGAAGAGAGGAUGAGUUCGAGAGAGAGAGUGGAGAAAAGACUCCAGUUUAUGAUUAUGAGAAACAAUACAAAGCCGUUUAGGUGAAUCUGACAAGUGUUUUGGUGGCAAAAUAUUUAUUUUUUCCAAGUGUUGGAGUCUACGCCUAGCAAAUUAAUAUGGCAAAAAAAAAUAUUUUCCCACAGUAACAAAUAUAGCGUUUUAAAUUAACAAACGCUAUAGAAAAAGUAAGUGUUGGUAUACAAUAGCAGAACUGUCAUAAACGCUAUAAUUUGAUGCUAUUAAUACUCAUAUUUCAUGUAAUGUAAGAGCCUGUGUACUUGAUUGGGAAGGAAAAUGGGGCCAGUUUCUACCAUUGGCAGAGUUUGCCUACAACAAUAGCUAUCAUUCGAGCAUUGGAAUGUCUCCAUAUGAGGCUCUAUAUGGGAGACCAUGUCGAACUCCACUAUGUUGGACAUAAGUGGAGGAGAGACGAGAUUUAGAGCCGGACAUGGUUAAGGAAACCAUAGAGCAGGUGGAAUUGAUCAAGUCUAGACUGAAAGAGGCUCAUGAUCGGCACAAGAACUAUGCUGACCAGAGGAGAAAAGCUUUGGAGUUUGAAGUAGUAGAUGAAGUAUACUUCAAAAUGAGAACCUACCGAGUACCGCAAGUUGAAAAAUUUGAAGCCAAGAUUUUUAGGACCGUAUCGCAUCAUUGAGAGGAUUGGAGCAGUAGCAUAUCGACUUGAGUUACCGCAUGAGUUAUCGGAUAUCCACAAUGUGUUUCAUGUGUCAGUUCUAAGAAAAUUUGUUCGGGAACCAGAGUUGAUUUUACAGCAACCACCAUGUUAGUCGCAAUUUAACAGCUCAAAGCAAACCAGUUAAAGUUUCAGAGAUUAAAGACAUGGAUGUCCAAGGGAAAGUGACCAUGAUGAUCCGUGUGAGCUGGGAAAGAGAUGGAAUAUGUGAGGAGACUUGGGAGCCAGAGUCACAGAUGAGAUCAUUUUACCCAGAGUUGUUUUCGAGUGUUGAGGUACCAGCGGAGGUUGACGUGAAUUCGGGGGCGAAUUCUUGUUUAGUGGGGGAGAGUUGUCAUAUCCCGGGCCCGAGCCCAAUUUUUAAUGACAAGGCCCGCAAUGAUUUGGCCCAUGUAGAGAAAACCCUAGGGUUUUCCCCUUCCUCUUCUAUAAAAAGGAGGCCGCCCUUAGGUAUUUCUCCACAAAGUCAAAACACAGCGAAGCCCUACCCAUUUGGAGAGAGAGCAGCCGCCGGCCACCUAACCUCCACCGGAGCCACCACGAGUCACCGGAGCACCGCCGGCGACCGUGUAAUCUCACCGGAGAGGAGAUCUCGCCGUGUUUCGAUCCCUUAUCGUCGUUUUCUUGACUAUUUUUCUUCUAGAUCCAGCAACUAGUGAGGAUGAAAUUGAAGAUAACUUGAUUACACAGGCACAAAGCGUAAUCCACACAGUGAUACAUAACAAAUAUAAUAUGCAAUUUAUGUGAACAAUAUGCAAUUUUUUUCUCAUGGGUUUGCUUAAUUUAGAGAAAUAUGCAAUUUUGCUAAAGAAA